rnacentral:rRNA from 1 species
AACAAACGCUGGCGGCGUGCCUAACACAUGCAAGUCGUACGAGAAAGGGUCCUUCGGGGCCUGAGUAAAGUGGCGCACGGGUGAGUAACGCGUGGAUAAUCUGCCCUUCAGUUGGGAAUAACUCAUCGAAAGGUGGGCUAAUACCGAAUAAUGCUGUGAGACCUCGGUUGAUCAGCCAAAGAGAGCCUCUGCUUGCAAGCCCUCGCUGAAGGAUGAGUCCGCGUACCAUUAGCUAGUUGGUAGGGUAAUGGCCUACCAAGGCGACGAUGGUUAGCUGGUCUGAGAGGAUGAUCAGCCACACUGGAACUGAGACACGGUCCAGACUCCUACGGGAGGCAGCAGUGAGGAAUCUUGCGCAAUGGGGGCAACCCUGACGCAGCAACGCCGCGUGAGUGAGGAAGGUCUUCGGAUCGUAAAGCUCUGUCGGAUGGAAAGAACCGCAUAGGGGCAAACAGCCCCUGUGUCUGACGGUACCAUCAAAGGAAGCACCGGCUAACUCCGUGCCAGCCGCCACGGUAAAAC